rnacentral:ncRNA from 2 species
UUCAUUCACCAGGGGAGUCCCGACAAGGGGCUGAGAUAUUGCUGGGCGGAUCGGCUCUUUCGACCGCAGCGCAAUGACCCGUUGAACCUGAUCCAGUUCAUGCUGGCGUAGGGACGGUGGGAACGACGGCAG